GACGAACGCUGGCGGCGUGCUUAACACAUGCCAGUCGAACGGAAAGGCCCUGCUUUUGUGGGGUGCUCGAGUGGCGAACGGGUGAGUAACACGUGAGUAACCUGCCCUUGACUUUGGGAUAACUUCAGGAAACUGGGGCUAAUACCGGAUAGGAGCUCCUGCUGCAUGGUGGGGGUUGGAAAGUUUCGGCGGUUGGGGAUGGACUCGCGGCUUAUCAGCUUGUUGGUGGGGUAGUGGCUUACCAAGGCUUUGACGGGUAGCCGGCCUGAGAGGGUGACCGGCCACAUUGGGACUGAGAUACGGCCCAGACUCCUACGGGAGGCAGCAGUGGGGAAUAUUGCACAAUGGGCGGAAGCCUGAUGAAGCAACGCCGCGUGCGGGAUGACGGCCUUCGGGUUGUAAACCGCUUGCGCCUGUGACGAAGCGUGAGUGACGGUAAUGGGUAAAGAAGCACCGGCUAACUACGUG
rnacentral:rRNA from 1 species